rnacentral:rRNA from 1 species
GAUGAACGCUGGCGGCGUGCCUAAUACAUGCAAGUCGAGCGAACUGAUUAGAAGCUUGCUUCUAUGACGUUAGCGGCGGACGGGUGAGUAACACGUGGGCAACCUGCCUGUAAGACUGGGAUAACUUCGGGAAACCGAAGCUAAUACCGGAUAGGAUCUUCUCCUCAUGGGAGAUGAUUGAAAGAUGGUUUCGGCUAUCACUUACAGAUGGGCCCGCGGUGCAUUAGCUAGUUGGUGAGGUAACGGCUCACCAAGGCAACGAUGCAUAGCCGACCUGAGAGGGUGAUCGGCCAGCCUGGGACUGAGACACGGUCCAGACUCCUACGGGAGGCAGCAGUAGGGAAUCUUCCGCAAUGGACGAAAGUCUGACGGAGCAACGCCGCGUGAGUGAUGAAGGCUUUCGGGUCGUAAAACUCUGUUGUUAGGGAAGAACAAGUACGAGAGUAACUGCUCGUACCUUGACGGUACCUAACCAGAAAGCCACGGCUAACUACGUGCCAGCAGCCGCCGCCG